GGCGAGGCUACAUAAGGUCUAUAAUGUCGGGGGCGGGACGCUUCAGAUUCUGGAGAGCAUUUGAUUGGACAGAAAAUCUUAUGAGAAGCUGAAGUGCAGCGUGAUGUCAUCAAAAUCAUUUAUCCAAAUUGGCGGAAGUGAGAGACUAAUGCCGCGUUCCAUAACCCGUGUUUUUCCAACCUUCUACCCGUGUUAGUACACUGGAACAGAAGUCAAAGCCGUGACUUCCCACCCGUGAACUCAUACUAGAUCUAGGUACUCCCAGUCACGGGUUCUGACGUCACAUAGCCCGCGAAACAACAAUGGCAGCCCCUACGGAUGCGAGGUUUAAGCAAGUGCACGGUAAAAUAAAAGGGCAGCUAAGAGCCAAGGACACCUUGCCAUAGCAAAAAAACAAAUGGAGAGACAACUGUCCCUGAGGUCAGAACAGGUGCAGCGGGACCGGUCAGAGUCCGCCGGGACAGCUGUUCUAUUCCUGUCCGGAACAGAGCCGGCUGACUGCGGAUCCACUGAGAGUAAUGACAGAUGGACAGAUUUAUUCACUCCGAUGAGCAAUUUCCACACACACAGACUCAUGGAAAAACACAGCGAAUCAUGCAGCUGCAACACCCCGCGCCAAUUAACAUGACUGCGACCUCACACAUCCGGGUCAGUGCAUCCGACCAGGGGAACAAAGGCAGAGCUGGUCCCAGAAUGCGAGGUCCCAAUUACCCUUGAGUGAGAUCCACAGAGCAUAAUGCUGCAGGCGCAUUUACUACACUGCGGAGAUGGCGAGGGAGCAUCGUCAACAUCUUUGCAGCCGAUACUCAGAAAACACUUGUUUAUUAAUAAAUAAUUAAAAUGUC